ensembl:snRNA U6 U6 spliceosomal RNA
GUGCUCAUUUUGCCAGCACAUAUGCUAAAAUUGAAAUAAUACAGAGAAGAUUCGUGUGGCUCCUGCAAAAGGGUGACAUGCAAAUUCAUGAAGCAUUUCAUAUUUUG